rnacentral:rRNA from 1 species
CUUCUACGGAGGGCAGCAGGCGCGCAAAUUGCCCAAUGUCAAGAAAAACGAUGAGGCAGCGAAAAGAAAUAGAGUUGACAGUCCAAUUGGAUUGUCAUUUCAAUGGGGGAUAUUUAAACCCAUCCAAUAUCGAGUAACAAUUGGAGGACAAGUCUGGUGCCAGCACCCGCGGUAAUUCCAGCUCCAAAAGCAUAUAUUAAUGCUGUUGCUGUUAAAGGGUUCGUAGUUGAAUUGAGGGCCGUGAAGGGCUAGUUUUUCUGGUAAGUCCUGUCCAACUCGGAUCAGGACCCAGACCCUUGCGGUCCGUGAACGAAGAUUCCUUCGGAUACAAGAAACACGGGAGUGGUUCCUUCCCUGACUCUCGCAUGCCAUGCAUGCCAGGGGGCGUCCGUGAUUUUUACUGUGACUAAAGAAGUGUGACCAAAGCAGUCGUUCGACUUGAAUUAGCAAGCAUGGGAUAACAAAGGCACAGCCUUUAGGCUACCGUCUCGGCUUUUGUUGGUUUUAGAGGUCUAUUGGAGAUUAUGGAGCCGUACGACAAGCGCACGUGCCCCCCUCACC